UCACAAUGCAACUGUUCUGCGAAAGACUGUGAUUACAUCAAUGGAUGUAGACAAAUAACAGAAGAACAACCAUAUAAUUUAAUGAUCGGUUCAAACUACAGCGUAAAAACAACAGAACAUAAUGCGUUUGAAUAUAGCUAUAAUGAGAAACACAACGAUACUUUAUUUAAAGACAGAACGAUAAUAAUGCAGACUGUACUCACAUCCAAGGACACGGCUCAUUAUCAAUCUAAGCGUUUAAUGUAUGCAACGAUCGGACUUUCAGUGGCGGCUGUUUUGAUA